CGUGUAGGCGGUCAGGUAAGUGGGACGUGAAAUGCCUCGGCUCACCCGAGGAGCUGCGUCCCAAACUGCUUGGCUUGAGUAUGGGAGAGGAUGUGGGAAUUCCUGGUGUAGCAGUGAAAUGCGUAGAUAUCAGGAGGAACACCGGUGGCGAAGGCGCACAUCUGGCCCAAUACUGACGCUGAGGCGCGAAAGCUAGGGGAGCAAACG
rnacentral:rRNA from 1 species